UCCAAAUGCACUUAAUCUUAUUCUCUACCU
rnacentral:piRNA from 1 species